rnacentral:rRNA from 1 species
GUGUCAGCCGCCGCGGUAAGACGAGGGGUCCUAGCGUUGUUCGGAAUCAUUGGGCGUAAAGCGGGUGUAGGCGGAUUUCUAAGUCAGAUGUGAAAUCCCAGGGCUCAACCCUGGAAGUGCAUUUGAUACUGGAAAUCUUGAGUGUGGUAGAGGUUACUGGAAUUGUUGGUGUAGUGGUGAAAUACGUAGAUAUCAACAGGAAUACCGGAGGCGAAGGCGAGUAACUGGGCCAACACUGACGCUGAGACCCGAAAGCGUGGGGAUCAAACAGGAUUAGAUACCCUGGUAGUCCACGCCAUAAACGAUGGAUACUUGUUGUUAGAGGUAUUGACCCCUCUAGUGACGUAGCUAACGCGUUAAGUAUCCCGCCUGGGGAGUACGGUCGCAAGAUUAAAACUCAAAGGAAUUGGCGG